rnacentral:rRNA from 1 species
AGCCCAGAGCCUGAAUCAGUGUGUGUGUUAGUGGAAGCGUCUGGAAAGGCGCGCGAUACAGGGUGACAGCCCCGUACACAAAAAUGCACAUGCUGUGAGCUCGAUGAGUAGGGCGGGACACGUGGUAUCCUGUCUGAAUAUGGGGGGACCAUCCUCCAAGGCUAAAUACUCCUGACUGACCGAUAGUGAACCAGUACCGUGAGGGAAAGGCGAAAAGAACCCCGGCGAGGGGAGUGAAAAAGAACCUGAAACCGUGUACGUACAAGCAGUGGGAGCACGCUUAGGCGUGUGACUGCGUACCUUUUGUAUAAUGGGUCAGCGACUUAUAUUCUGUAGCAAGGUUAACCGAAUAGGGGAGCCGAAGGGAAACCGAGUCUUAACUGGGCGUUAAGUUGCAGGGUAUAGACCCGAAACCCGGUGAUCUAGCCAUGGGCAGGUUGAAGGUUGGGUAACACUAACUGGAGGACCGAACCGACUAAUGUUGAAAAAUUAGCGGAUGACUUGUGGCUGGGGGUGAAAGGCCAAUCAAACCGGGAGAUAGCUGGUUCUCCCCGAAAGCUAUUUAGGUAGCGCCUCGUGAAUUCAUCUCCGGGGGUAGAGCACUGUUUCGGCAAGGGGGUCAUCCCGACUUACCAACCCGAUGCAAACUGCGAAUACCGGAGAAUGUUAUCACGGGAGACACACGGCGGGUGCUAACGUCCGUCGUGAAGAGGGAAACAACCCAGACCGCCAGCUAAGGUCCCAAAGUCAUGGUUAAGUGGGAAACGAUGUGGGAAGGCCCAGACAGCCAGGAUGUUGGCUUAGAAGCAGCCAUCAUUUAAAGAAAGCGUAAUAGCUCACUGGUCGAGUCGGCCUGCGCGGAAGAUGUAACGGGGCUAAACCAUGCACCGAAGCUGCGGCAGCGACGCUUAUGCGUUGUUGGGUAGGGGAGCGUUCUGUAAGCCUGUGAAGGUGUACUGUGAGGUAUGCUGGAGGUAUCAGAAGUGCGAAUGCUGACAUAAGUAACGAUAAAGCGGGUGAAAAGCCCGCUCGCCGGAAGACCAAGGGUUCCUGUCCAACGUUAAUCGGGGCAGGGUGAGUCGACCCCUAAGGCGAGGCCGAAAGGCGUAGUCGAUGGGAAACAGGUUAAUAUUCCUGUACUUGGUGUUACUGCGAAGGGGGGACGGAGAAGGCUAUGUUGGCCGGGCGACGGUUGUCCCGGUUUAAGCGUGUAGGCUGGUUUUCCAGGCAAAUCCGGAAAAUCAAGGCUGAGGCGUGAUGACGAGGCACUACGGUGCUGAAGCAACAAAUGCCCUGCUUCCAGGAAAAGCCUCUAAGCAUCAGGUAACAUCAAAUCGUACCCCAAACCGACACAGGUGGUCAGGUAGAGAAUACCAAGGCGCUUGAGAGAACUCGGGUGAAGGAACUAGGCAAAAUGGUGCCGUAACUUCGGGAGAAGGCACGCUGAUAUGUAGGUGAAGUCCCUCGCGGAUGGAGCUGAAAUCAGUCGAAGAUACCAGCUGGCUGCAACUGUUUAUUAAAAACACAGCACUGUGCAAACACGAAAGUGGACGUAUACGGUGUGACGCCUGCCCGGUGCCGGAAGGUUAAUUGAUGGGGUUAGCGCAAGCGAAGCUCUUGAUCGAAGCCCCGGUAAACGGCGGCCGUAACUAUAACGGUCCUAAGGUAGCGAAAUUCCUUGUCGGGUAAGUUCCGACCUGCACGAAUGGCGUAAUGAUGGCCAGGCUGUCUCCACCCGAGACUCAGUGAAAUUGAACUCGCUGUGAAGAUGCAGUGUACCCGCGGCAAGACGGAAAGACCCCGUGAACCUUUACUAUAGCUUGACACUGAACAUUGAGCCUUGAUGUGUAGGAUAGGUGGGAGGCUUUGAAGUGUGGACGCCAGUCUGCAUGGAGCCGACCUUGAAAUACCACCCUUUAAUGUUUGAUGUUCUAACGUUGACCCGUAAUCCGGGUUGCGGACAGUGUCUGGUGGGUAGUUUGACUGGGGCGGUCUCCUCCUAAAGAGUAACGGAGGAGCACGAAGGUUGGCUAAUCCUGGUCGGACAUCAGGAGGUUAGUGCAAUGGCAUAAGCCAGCUUGACUGCGAGCGUGACGGCGCGAGCAGGUGCGAAAGCAGGUCAUAGUGAUCCGGUGGUUCUGAAUGGAAGGGCCAUCGCUCAACGGAUAAAAGGUACUCCGGGGAUAACAGGCUGAUACCGCCCAAGAGUUCAUAUCGACGGCGGUGUUUGGCACCUCGAUGUCGGCUCAUCACAUCCUGGGGCUGAAGUAGGUCCCAAGGGUAUGGCUGUUCGCCAUUUAAAGUGGUACGCGAGCUGGGUUUAGAACGUCGUGAGACAGUUCGGUCCCUAUCUGCCGUGGGCGCUGGAGAACUGAGGGGGGCUGCUCCUAGUACGAGAGGACCGGAGUGGACGCAUCACUGGUGUUCGGGUUGUCAUGCCAAUGGCACUGCCCGGUAGCUAAAUGCGGAAGAGAUAAGUGCUGAAAGCAUCUAAGCACGAAACUUGCCCCGAGAUGAGUUCUCCCUGACUCCUUGAGAGUCCUGAAGGAACGUUGAAGACGACGACGUUGAUAGGCCGGGUGUGUAAGCGCAGCGAUGCGUUGAGCUAACCGGUACUAAUGAACCGUGAGGCUUAACCUUAAAACGCCGAAGGUGUUA